AUGAACGCUGGCGGCGUGCCUAAUACAUGCAAGUCGAGCGAACAGACGAGGAGCUUGCUCCUCUGACGUUAGCGGCGGACGGGUGAGUAACACGUGGAUAACCUACCUAUAAGACUGGGAUAACUUCGGGAAACCGGAGCUAAUACCGGAUAAUAUAUUGAACCGCAUGGUUCAAUAGUGAAAGACGGUUUUGCUGUCACUUAUAGAUGGAUCCGCGCCGCAUUAGCUAGUUGGUAAGGUAACGGCUUACCAAGGCAACGAUGCGUAGCCGACCUGAGAGGGUGAUCGGCCACACUGGAACUGAGACACGGUCCAGACUCCUACGGGAGGCAGCAGUAGGGAAUCUUCCGCAAUGGGCGAAAGCUUGACGGAGCAACGCCGCGUGAGUGAUGAAGGUCUUCGGAUCGUGAAACUCUGUUAUUAGGGAAGAACAAAUGUGUAAGUAACUAUGCACGUCUUGACGGUACCUAAUCAGAAAGCCACGGCUAACUACGUG
rnacentral:rRNA from 1 species